GGCCGUGGUUUCGUCCACCAAGGCAUAUUUAUUCCGUAUCUUCUAGUCCGGCUUCCAGCGAUGAUGGCCAAAGACAAGGAAAAACCAGUAUUCAAGGGGUUCGUCAUCUACCGCGUGCAGGUGUUCUCCGACAAGCUGGGACCACCAUCGUAGGCACCUGCUCUCCUCCCGAGCUAGGCGACGCGCGACUACGCAGCUCAACACUGCUCACGCUUUCGUGGGCGUACUUCACUACAUCGCGACGUCGCGCACUUCGCUACAAAAUUAAAUAUUCGAAUAUUUUUUAA